rnacentral:rRNA from 1 species
ACGUAGGGUGCGAGCGUUGUCCGGAAUUACUGGGCGUAAAGAGCUCGUAGGCGGUUUGUCACGUCGUCUGUGAAAUCCCUCGGCUUAACCGGGGGCGUGCAGGCGAUACGGGCAGACUUGAGUACUACAGGGGAGACUGGAAUUCCUGGUGUAGCGGUGAAAUGCGCAGAUAUCAGGAGGAACACCGGUGGCGAAGGCGGGUCUCUGGGUAGUAACUGACGCUGAGGAGCGAAAGCAUGGGUAGCGAACAG